rnacentral:rRNA from 1 species
ACUCCUACGGGAGGCAGCAGUGGGGAAUAUUGCACAAUGGGCGCAAGCCUGAUGCAGCCAUGCCGCGUGUAUGAAGAAGGCCUUCGGGUUGUAAAGUACUUUCAGCGGGGAGGAAGGCGAUAAGGUUAAUAACCUUGUCGAUUGACGUUACCCGCAGAAGAAGCACCGGCUAACUCCGUGCCAGCAGCCGCGGUAAUACGGAGGGUGCAAGCGUUAAUCGGAAUUACUGGGCGUAAAGCGCACGCAGGCGGUCUGUCAAGUCGGAUGUGAAAUCCCCGGGCUCAACCUGGGAACUGCAUUCGAAACUGGCAGGCUAGAGUCUUGUAGAGGGGGGUAGAAUUCCAGGUGUAGCGGUGAAAUGCGUAGAGAUCUGGAGGAGUACCGGUGGCGAAGGCGGCCCCCUGGACAAAGACUGACGCUCAGGUGCGAAAGCGUGGGGAGCAAACAGGAUUAGAUACCCCGGUAGUCCCA